ensembl:lncRNA
CAGCAGCUGCUUCUCUCUCUCUCUCUCUCUCUCUCUCUCUAUCGUUCCCCUCCCCUCUCUUCCGCUCCCUUCCCUUCCUGUGCCUCUCUCCAGCGCCGGAGAGCGGAGGAGAGGUGGAGAAGCCAUUGCCUGCCUCCCCUCCCCUGGCCUCGUGCUCUGCCGCUGCCGGCUCCUGCCUUCCUUCCGUGGCUUCUCUUCAUCCCUCUUUCCCGGGGAGGGAAGGAAGGAGGGAGGGAAGGAGAGGGACUGGCCUGCUCGCAUCAGACCUGCUGUGGCUGCAUCUGUCGCCUCGCCGGCAUGAGAUUAAUGGCCAGACGCGCACAAUAGGCGGGGAGGAAAUGGGGCGCUGAAGUUUUCCUCUUCCUUCCACGGAUCCGUGCUGAAGAGAAGGAGGGAGGAGCGAAGGCAGGGAUGGAGUAGUGAAAGUGGGAGAGGAUGUAGAUGUAAACAAGAGUCGAGAAGGCUGAUAAGAGGAGCCCGGGGACAGAGCGUGCCCAGGAAAUCAUCGGCACUGACAGAUUGUGACAGAUGGACGGGUUUCCGCGCCAGAAGUGAGACACGGAAUAACAAGACAAGAAGACGUGUUCUUCUGAUCGGGGCAAGAGGGAGAAGAGGAUUCUAUCCCUAUUCAGUCGUUCCUCCUGUUGUAGGGAGGGAUGGCGUGUCGAAUGCACCGUGCAACGGCAACAGCGUCCCACCCCUCCAUCUGCCGACAAGAACAAGAUAACUGAGAUUCAGGUCUGACGAUAGAGAGAAGGCCAGAGAGGAAGGGACGUCCACGCUUCAGAGAGAACCCUCCGGCCACGUCAAACAUGAACGCCUGUCACUUUGUACUGUCACGGAAGCACUUCCCGGUAGCACUCAUGGCUGGUACAACACCUCCCUCCUAGCUCCACCAGUGGGGGGGUGAGGAGGUGGAGUCGGGUGUUGAGGGAGUCCCCCUGGACCCACCCAUCUGCCAGUCCAGACAACCCUCCCAGGCUGUUUCGCUAAUACAUGUUGGACGUGAUUGGAUGUGACCGCAGCGCUUGGCA